AUACGAAUAUGAUGAUAGCAAAUUCAAAAAAAGAUGAGUGAUUAUCAUGUAUUUGAUAUGAUCAAAACUUUUAUCGCUACGUUCUUUCUGAUUCGUUC
rfam:Lupinus angustifolius cultivar Tanjil chromosome LG08, whole genome shotgun sequence.